UGACCUCGGAUCAGGCAGGGAUACCCGCUGAACUUAAGCAUAUCAAUAAGCC
rnacentral:rRNA from 1 species